rnacentral:tRNA from 10 species
GCCGACUUAGCUCAAUCUGGUAGAGCAACUGACUUGUAAUCAGUAGGUUGUGGGUUCAAUUCCUAUAGUCGGCACCA